UGUAAAAAGAAGCUGGUGGUCUCAGGGGUUUCCUGCCUUUCGUAGUUAUCGGCUCUAUAUAUUGGUAUAGAUGUCCACCGUAUCCGGUUCUUCCGCUUAUAAUUCCUCCAGAGUUAUCAAUUCUUCGCCUGCUUUAACUUUUCCCUGUUUUUGUCGAGAUCUCUUGGUUUCUUGCCGCUACUUUCCCGGACUUACUGAAUGGGGGCUGUCUUGAACUUCCUUAAUUCUAUUGGGCCUACGGGUUCAAUUUUGCUGGGUAUGCAAUUUGGCUACUGCGUCCACCUCCUCCUCAGGGCGAAUUAUUACAAUAGAAAAGAUUCGGACAAGUCCAAGAUUGGGCAUGACAACCUUCUGGCUGCUGAUCCUCGCAGAAGGCUGUAGAAAAUUACUAGUGGAUCUUGCCAUGCACCAGAAUGAAUGGGUGAAUGAACUGGAUUAGUAUAUUAUCGUAUUGUUAACUCUAAAUUAUGCUAGUUGUAGUGGCUGCUUGUAUAAUUAACCUCUUAGCUAAUGUUGGAUUUUAAUGCUGUGGUGAGAAUCUACUCUGUGGCAAGAAUUGUUCUGGUGAGACUUUUUUGUGGCAUUGAAAGCUCCCUUUUGGCGUCAUUUACCAGAGUCCGCUAAGAAUCACAGAGCUGCUUAUUCCAUUC